rnacentral:lncRNA from 1 species
GGAAUAUUUAGCAAUAAUAUUUUAAAUUUGAGUUAAGCAUACUUUUCUUUUUACAGAAUGACAGCCCAUAUCAAGGCGGUGUAUUCUUUUUGACAAUUCAUUUUCCUACAGACUACCCCUUCAAACCACCUAAGGUUGCAUUUACAACAAGAAUUUAUCAUCCAAAUAUUAACAGUAAUGGCAGCAUUUGUCUCGAUAUUCUAAGAUCACAGUGGUCGCCUGCUUUAACAAUUUCUAAAGUUCUUUUAUCCAUUUGUUCACUGCUAUGUGAUCCAAACCCAGAUGACCCCCUAGUGCCAGAGAUUGCACGGAUCUAUAAAACAGACAGAGAUAAGUACAACAGAAUAUCUCGGGAAUGGACUCAGAAGUAUGCCAUGUGAUGCUACCUUAAAGUCAGAAUAACCUGCAUUAUAGCUGGAAUAAACUUUAAAUUACUGUUC